rnacentral:rRNA from 1 species
UACGUAGGGGGCUAGCGUUGUCCGGAAUCAUUGGGCGUAAAGCGCGCGUAGGCGGCCAGAUAAGUCCGGUGUGAAAGUCACAGGCUCAACCUGUGAAUGCCGCUGGAAACUGUCUGGCUAGAGUCCGGAAGGGGCGAGUGGAAUUCCUGGUGUAGCGGUGAAAUGCGCAGAUAUCAGGAGGAACACCGAUGGCGAAGGCAGGUCUCUGGGCAUUAACUGACGCUGAGGAGCGAAAGCGUGGGGAGCAAACAGG